AGCAGCAUGGCGCAGUUGGAAGCGCGCGGGGCCCAUAUGAUAAACAUACCCCGAGGUCACUUGAUCGAAACAAGUUGCUGCUA
rnacentral:tRNA from 1 species